rnacentral:sRNA from 1 species
GCUGGGUGUGGUGGCGCACACCUGUAAUCCCAGCAACUUGAGAGGCUGAGGCAGGAGGAUUGUAAAUUGAGGCCAGCCUGGGCAAUUUAGCAAGACCUUUUCUCCA